UGCAUCUUAUCUUUGUCGGAGUCUUGGCACCGCUCUGCUCAGCAUCUUCCAGUGCGGUAACCAAGCGAAGCAUGCGGGUUCCCGAGAGAUCACUUGGAAUUCCAGUACGCCAGGGGGAGAUUCCUCUGGAGGCGAUGAAGUUCAUUGCCCCCUACAUGAACACCUGGCCAACUCCAGCCGACUGCUGCGCUAACGGCGGCACCUGCACUCAUGCAGAAAACGGCACCACGAGGUGUCUGUGUCCUGCUGCCUUCUCGGGUCCGGGGUGCCUCGACGACGUUGACGAAUGCCUGCUUCGAAAGCCGUGUGGUCGCUUUAGCGUGUGCAUCAAUCUGUACGGAUCCUUCCGCUGCGACUGCAUGC